AUGAACAACUAUGUGAAAUAUUGAAUGUAAUGGAAUGAAAUUCCGGGUACUAAACAAAUGAACGGAUGUGUUAAUAUAGGCGUAAAGGAAGAGGGCUCAGGUUCUAAGAAGUCGGAAAGCUCACAAGACAAAGGUAAAUCCUCAUCUUAGACUAUAUGGCGAGUUGAAGCGAGCACGUGAUCACCACUUAACAUAUCAAGCGCUUCCGCUAGUUGCUUAAAUGUUUUGGGUCAAAUAAUUGUGAAAGUUUGUCUAAACUUGUUAGUAGAUGUGUUGGUCAAAAUUUAUGCUUUCUUGGACUUUCUUUGCGUCUAGUCGUAAGGGUCAUGGUAUAUUUUGUAUGAAA